GACGAACGCUGGCGGCGUGCCUAAUACAUGCAAGUAGAACGCACAGUUUAUACCGUAGCUUGCUACACCAUAAACUGUGAGUUGCGAACGGGUGAGUAACGCGUAGGUAACCUGCCUGGGAGCGGGUGGUAACUAUUGGAAACGAUAGCUAAUACCGCAUAAUAUUAAUUAUUGCAUGAUAAUUGAUGGAAAGAUUCAAUUGCAUCACUACCAGAUGGACCCACGUUGUAAUAGGUAGUAGGUGAGGUAACGGCGCACCUAAGCGACGAUACAUAGCCGACCUUGGGGGGUGGACGGCCCAACUGGGACCUGAGCACCGCCCAAGAUCCUACGGGGGGGAGCAGUAGGGGAUCUUCGGCAAUGGACGGAAGUCUGAACGAGGAACGCCGCGUGAGGGAAGGAGGUCUUCGGAUCGUAAAGCUCUGUUGUAAGGGAAGAACGAGUGUGGGAGUGGAAAGUGCACACUGUGACGGUAUCUAACCAGAAAGGGACGGCUAACUACGUG
rnacentral:rRNA from 1 species